UGUAGCCUAGUGGUAAAGCACUUACCCAGCAUGUAGGAGGCCCUGGGUUUAAUCCCCAGCA
rnacentral:tRNA from 1 species